rnacentral:rRNA from 1 species
CCUACGGGAGGCAGCAGUGGGUAAUAUUGCACAAUGGGCGCAAGCCUGAUGCAGCCAUGCCGCGUGUAUGAAGAAGGCCUUCGGGUUGUAAAGUACUUUCAGCGGGGAGGAAGGGAGUAAAGUUAAUACCUUUGCUCAUUGACGUUACCCGCAGAAGAAGCACCGGCUAACUCCGUGCCAGCAGCCGCGGUAAUACGGAGGGUGCAAGCGUUAAUCGGAAUUACUGGGCGUAAAGCGCACGCAGGCGGUUUGUAAGUCAGAUGUGAAAUCCCCGGGCUCAACCUGGGAACUGCAUCUGAUACUGGCAAGCUUGAGUCUCGUAGAGGGGGGUAGAAUUCCAGGUGUAGCGGUGAAAUGCGUAGAGAUCUGGAGGAAUACCGGUGGCGAAGGCGGCCCCUGGACGAAGACUGACGCUCAGGUGCGAAAGCGUAGGGGAGCGAAACAGGAUUAGGAUACCCUGGUAGUCCACGCCGUAAACGAUGUCGACUUGGAGGUUGUGCCCUUGAGGCGUGGCUUCCGGAGCUAACGCGUUAAGUCGACCGCCUGGGGAUACGGCCGCAAGGUUAAACUCAAAGGAUUGACGG